rnacentral:rRNA from 1 species
AUUGAACGCUGGCGGCAUGCCUUACACAUGCAAGUCGAGCGGCAGCGCGGGGGCAACCCUGGCGGCGAGCGGCGAACGGGUGAGUAAUGCAUCGGAACGUGUCCUCUUGUGGGGGAUAACCAGUCGAAAGACUGGCUAAUACCGCAUGAGCUCGUAAGAGGAAAGCAGGGGACCCGCAAGGGCCUUGCGCGAGAGGAGCGGCCGAUGCCCGAUUAGCUAGUUGGUGGGGUAAAGCCUACCAAGGCGACGAUCGGUAGCUGGUCUGAGAGGACGACCAGCCACACUGGGACUGAGACACGGCCCAGACUCCUACGGGAGGCAGCAGUGGGAAUUUUGGACAAUGGGGCAACCCUGAUCCAGCCAUGCCGCGUGUGUGAAGAAGGCCUCGG